rnacentral:rRNA from 1 species
AUACGUAGGUGACAAGCGUUAUCCGGAUUUACUGGGCGUAAAGGGCGUGUAGGCGGUCUUGCAAGUCAGAAGUGAAAUCCCAUGGCUUAACCAUGGAACUGCUUUGGAAACUGCCAGGCUAGAGUGCAGGAGAGGUAAGCGGAAUUCCUAGUGUAGCGGUGAAAUGCGUAGAUAUUAGGAGGAACACCAGUGGCGAAGGCGGCUUACUGGACUGUAACUGACGUUGAGGCUCGAAAGCGUGGGGAGCAAACAGGAUUAGAUACCCUGGUAGUCCACGCUGUAAACGAUGAUUACUAGGUGUUGGGGACCAAAGGUCCUCGGUGCCGCCGCAAACGCAUUAAGUAAUCCACCUGGGGAGUACGUUCGCAAGAAUGAAACUCAAAUGAAUUGGCGGGG